rnacentral:sRNA from 1 species
GUGCUUCCUCUUCUCUCCUGGGCUGACUCAAGCACUCGUCCUCAGGGUGGUGAAGACUCCCGGCUCUCAGCUGCCCCCUGCAUCAGACCCAGCAGCUGUCCUCCCACUGUGGCUCCCGCAUCUGCCUCCCUGCCCCAGCCCAUCCUCUCCAACCAAGGCAUCCUCGGAGAUGAGUGAGUGAAGCAGGUCCCAUGAGCGUGUCUGCUGGCCCGGCCCCCACGGAAGAGGGGAGGGUGUGCCGUCCCGAGUGGAGCCGAGGCUCGGGACACGCAGGAAAGGACGCCGCCUGCCCGGGCUCCUGGAGACGCAGAACUUGGUGUGAGGUCUUGGGAAAACAGUUCAACCCGAUGUUUUAAGAGCCAGAAAAACAUUCCCACCCCUUGACCUGGAAUCAUGUUCGUUCAGGAGGAGGCCCUGGCCAGCAGCCUCUCGUCCACCGACAGUCUGACUCCCAUGGACCAGCCCAUUGCCCAGGGAUGCUCUGAUUCCUUGGAGUCCAUCCCUGCAGGACAGGCAGCUUCCGAUGAUUUAAGGGACGUGCCAGGAGCUGUUGGUGGUGCAAG